GUGGCCUCGUCUGUCUGAGGGUCG
rnacentral:rRNA from 2 species